UUUGAUUUAUCAUCUUCCCGAGUAGCUGGGAAUACAGGCCAACCUCCAAGAGCAACUAGAAGUUACAAAAUGGGACAAACUUCCUACCUCCAACUCUCCUCUCCAACUCCAUAGUACCAACUGUAGGGUUGGUGCUCACCUGGUGGGAAGACCAGGGGUACGAGGAGCUAACACGCAGUUGAAGGAGCCGGUCUGCAAGCCAGAGGGUAGCCACGGUCCGUCACUGUGCAGUCCAGCUUAGAUGAUCUGGACCCAAUAAAACAAGCUGUCAUUUCC
rnacentral:lncRNA from 1 species